CUGACUGGGUAGGAGGGGCUUGGCAGGAGAAGCCUGGAGGCAGCUCAUGCUGACUGGGCAGGAGAGGCUGGACAGGAAAGCCCAGAGGUGGUUCGUGCUGACUGGGCAGAAGCAACAGGCUGGGGUAACCACUGAGGAGCAACUCAAAGGAAAAAAAGAAGAUGACAACAGAAGAAAAAAAAACUCCAAGAGAAGAAAAGGCCAGUCAAAAACCACACACACAUUGCACACAUGGCCCUCCCUGUGGCAUUUACACUUGUCCACCUAGGCUUAAUCCCCCUGGAGGGACUAGGGGAAACGACCUCUCCGUAAACGGAGAUCAAGGUCCGCUCCUUACCAAGAGAAAUCCUUUAUGGGCCCAUUGCGCACCUGUGGCUGAGUGACCCCCCUUUAAGAAGGGUUGAGGUCUCUGUGCAUUUCGGCUCUUCAGGACUUAGCCUUUAACACGCCCCGUGCCACUGACCUCUCGCUGUAAGAAGGGUGCGGGUCUCCCCUUUCUAGCUUGUCUUGGGCCGCUGGCACUUGCUGGGCAAAGAGACCACCCUCUACCGAGGGAAUAGAGGUCUCUCCUUUUCAGCGCUCUUGGCAAUGGCCCAUUGAAAUGGCCCUGGCUUAAAAACCACCCUGUAAGGAGGCUUUGGGUCUCCUUCGCCAUGCUUAUGUAGCCACAAGUCACUUUGACAUGCCAGGCAAAAGGACCGCCCUGUAACCAGGGCCUAAGGUCUUAUCCCUCUCAUUCUUAAACUAGCAGAACCCCCUUGUGCCUCUGGCUGAGUGACCCCCCUUUAAGAAGGGUCGAGGUCUCUCUGGCUUUCUACUAUUCAGGACCUAGCCUUUAAAAUACCCUGUGCCGAUGACCUCUCCCUGUAAGAAGGGUGCAGGUCUCCCCUUUCUAGCUUGUCUUGGGCCGCUGGCACUUGCUGGGCAAAGGGACCACCCUCUACCGAGGGAAUGGAGGUCCCUCCUUUUCAGCGCUUUUGGCAAUGGCCCAUUGGGAUGCGCCUGGCUUAAGGACCACCCUGUAAGGAGGGUUUGGGUCUCCUUCCCCACCCUUAUUUAGACACAGGUCACUUUGACACGCCAGGUAAAAGGACCGCCCUGUAACCAGGGCCUAAGGUCUUAUCCCUCUCAUUCUUAAACUAGCAGAACCCCCUUGUGCCUCUGGCUGAGUGACCCCCCUUUAAGAAGGGUUGAGGUUCUACUUCGGCUAGUCACCGUAAAUGGCACUAGAAUGAUUUCUACUUGGCUCUUCUGGGUUCUGAAGUGAAAUCUGAUUUGUGUCCCAUGGAUUUCCUGUCCGGGACACAUGGAACCAGGUGUGGCGAAGGGGCGGCUGUAAGGGGAUGGUGGAGGCCGUGAAAAAUUCAACCCUUUCCUCAAAAAAGCCAAGAAAUCACCAAAGUCCAAAGUGAGCUCCCUCUAACUAGGGUGUAGGUCUUUCUCUCACUUUCCCAAGAUUACACUCCCCUUUGAAAGCUAGUUCUAGAAACCAGCCUCUUGAGAGAGUUAAGGGUUUGCCCUUGUAGCUGCCCUGUGCCCGUGGCCUCCUCACGCACUCAGCCAAGUCAAAGCCCAGCAUACUCUGCAUCCGGAUGGCCCUGAGUUCUGCUGCAAGCUCUCCUGCCUUCUGCUACGGAUUGGUGCCGAAGCCUAGGAACUGGGCAACUCAAAGGACAAAAUGAAGACGACGACAGAAGCACCAAAGAAACUGCAGGAAAAGAGAAGAAAAGGCCAGUCAAAAACCACACACACAUUGCACACAUGGCCCUCCCUGUGGCAUUUAAACUUGUCCGCCUAGGCUUAACCCCCCUGGAGGGACCAGGGGAAAGGACCUCUCCGUAAACGGAGAUCAAGGUCCGCUCCUUGCCAAGAGAAAUGCUUUAUGGGCCCAUUGCGCACCUGCGGCUGAGUGACCCCCCUUUAAGAAGGGUUGAGGUCUCUGUGCAUUUCGGCUCUUCAGGACUUAGCCUUUAACAUGCCCCGUGCCAAUGACCUCUCCCUGUAAGAAGGGUGCAGGUCUCCCCUUUCUAGCUUGUCUUGGGCCGCUGGCACUUGCUGGGCAAAGAGACCACCCUCUACCGAGGGAAUGGGGGUCUCUCCUUUUCAGCGCUCUUGGCAAUGGCCCAUUGAAAUGGCCCUGGCUUAAAGACCACCCUGUAAGGAGGGUUUGGGUCUCCUUCGCCACGCUUAUGUAGCCACAUGCCAGGCAAAAGGACCGCCCUGUAACCAGGGUGUAAGGUCUUAGCCCUCUCGUUCUUAAACUAGGAGAGCCUCUUUGUGCCUGUGGCUGAGUGACCCCCCUUUAAGAAGGGUUGCGGUUCCAGUUCUGUUAGUCGCAGAAAAUUCCCCAAGAAUGAUUUCUAUUUGGCUUUUUUGAGCUUUGAGGUGAAAUCUUAUUUGUGACCCGUGUAUUUCUUCUCCGGGUCACGUGUAACCCGGUGUGGCGAAGGGGCGGCUGUAAGGGGAUGGUGGAGGCCGUGAAAAAUUCGACCCUUCUUUCCCAGAGAGCCAACAAAUCGGCCCAAAUUCCGUAUCUCACAAAGUCUGGAACUGAACAGGUGAGGAAGCGGGCUCCUUUCAGAGCCUCAUUUCCAUGCAAUCCUUCCUCAUCUCCUCUUGCCCUGCCCAAUUUACACUGCCCAAUCAACCUCAGCUUUGAGCCCGUGUUUGAUUCGGCACAAGAAAGACGUUGCUGGACGUAGCAUUUGUAAGGGUACAGAUUCGGAGAGCUCCGUAAGUUGUGUCUGAAUUCCAGGCCUUUUGUUUCUUUGCUGACAGAACGAGGCUAUUCCUAGGGCUAUGUUUGAAGUGAUUGAUGCAGCUGUCCUUUUGGAAAUGUGCUCAUGCUCAGCUGGUGUAGGUUCUUGGCGUGGUAUUCAGAACUUGCACGGGGGUGCACCUAACCCUACUAACAGGACUGUGUUUUGGUCAAGGUUAGGGGGCACAAAGUUGAAAUUUUCUUGGUGGGGUAGGAAGGUAAGUCGGGAAGGGUGUUGCCGAGGGAUGGAGGAUUUAAUGGUAAUGCGAGACUCAGCGGGACUCCUCCCUUACCUGUUCAUUACCAGAUCUUUUCACAUUGGGGACUUUCCCCCCUUUCUUUAAAGGAGGACUAUUUUCCUAAAGAAAGGGUGACCGCCCUGUACUCAGGGAUCGGGUCUGUUUCCCUUUUCUCCUCUCUGCGUUGGCCCUUUUAAUGCCAAAGUCCCUGGCUGGCCAAAGAGAGCCCCCUCUACCGAGGGAAUGGAGGUCUCUCCUUUUCAGCGCUUUUGGCAAUGGCCCAUUGGGAUGCGCCUGGCUUAAGGACCACCCUGUAAGGAGGGUUUGGGUCUCCUUCGCCACGCUUAUGUAGCCACAGCUCACUUUGAUACGCCAGGCAAAAGGACCGCCCUGUAACCAGGGUGUAAGGUCUUAGCCCUCUCAUUCUUGAACUAGGAGAGCCUCUUUGUGCCUGUGGCUGAGUGACCCCCCUUUAAGAAGGGUCGAGGUCUCUCUGGCUUUCUGCUAUUUAGAACCUAGCCUUUAAUAUGCCCCGUGCCACUGACCUCUCCCUGUAAGAAGGGUGCAGGUCUCCCCUUUCUAGCUUGUCUUGGGCCGCUGGCACUUGCUGGGCAAAGGGACCACCCUCUACCGAGGGAAUGGAGGUCCCUCCUUUUCAGCGCUUUUGGCAAUGGCCCAUUGGGAUGCGCCUGGCUUAAGGACCACCCUGUAAGGAGGGUUUGGGUCUCCUUCCCCACCCUUAUUUAGACACAGGUCACUUUGACACGCCAGGUAAAAGGACCGCCCUGUAACCAGGGCCUAAGGUCUUAUCCCUCUCAUUCUUAAACUAGCAGAACCCCCUUGUGCCUCUGGCUGAGUGACCCCCCUUUAAGAAGGGUUGAGGUUCUACUUCGGCUAGUCACCGUAAAUGGCACUAGAAUGAUUUCUACUUGGCUCUUCUGGGUUCUGAAGUGAAAUCUGAUUUGUGUCCCAUGGAUUUCCUGUCCGGGACACAUGGAACCAGGUGUGGCGAAGGGGCGGCUGUAAGGGGAUGGUGGAGGCCGUGAAAAAUUCAACCCUUUCCUCAAAAAAGCCAAGAAAUCACCAAAGUCCAAAGUGAGCUCCCUCUAACUAGGGUGUAGGUCUUUCUCUCACUUUCCCAAGAUUACACUCCCCUUUGAAAGCUAGUUCUAGAAACCAGCCUCUUGAGAGAGUUAAGGGUUUGCCCUUGUAGCUGCCCUGUGCCCGUGGCCUCCUCACGCACUCAGCCAAGUCAAAGCCCAGCGUACUCUGCAUCCGGAUGGCCCUGAGUUCUGCUGCAAGCUCUCCUGCCUUCUGCUACGGAUUGGUGCCGAAGCCUAGGAACUGGGCAACUCAAAGGACAAAAUGAAGACGACGACAGAAGCACCAAAGAAACUGCAGGAAAAGAGAAGAAAAGGCCAGUCAAAAACCACACACACAUUGCACACAUGGCCCUCCCUGUGGCAUUUACACUUGUCCGCCUAGGCUUAAUCCCCCUGGAGGGACCAGGGGAAAGGACCUCUCCGUAAACGGAGAUCAAGGUCCGCUCCUUGCCAAGAGAAAUGCUUUAUGGGCCCAAUGCGCACCUGCGGCUGAGUGACCCCCCUUUAAGAAGGGUUGAGGUCUCUGUGCAUUUCGGCUCUACAGGACUUAGCCUUUAACAUGCCCCGUGCCACUGACCUCUCCCUGUAAGAAGGGUGCGGGUCUCCCCUUUCUAGCUUGUCUUGGGCCGCUGGCACUUGCUGGGCAAAGGGACCACCCUCUACCGAGGGAAUGGAGGUCUCUCCUUUUCAGCGCUUUUGGCAAUGGCCCAUUGAAAUGCCCCUGGCUUAAGGACCACCCUGUAAGGAGGGUUUGGGUCUCCUUCGCCACGCUUAUGUAGCCACAGAUCACUUGGACACGCCAGGCAAAAGGACCGCCCUGUAACCGGGGCCUAAGGUCUUAUCCCUCUCAUUCUUAAACUAGCAGAACCCCCUUGUGCCUCUGGCUGAGUGACCCCCCUUUAAGAAGGGUCGAGGUCUCUCUGGCUUUCUACUAUUCAGGACCUAGCCUUUAAAAUGCCCUGUGCCAAUGAUCUCUCCCUGUAAGAAGGGUGCAGGUCUCCCCUUUCUAGCUUGUCUUGGGCCGCUGGCACUUGCUGGGCAAAGAGACCACCCUCUACCGAGGGAAUGGGGGUCUCUCCUUUUCAGCGCUCUUGGCAAUGGCCCAUUGAAAUGGCCCUGGCUUAAAGACCACCCUGUAAGGAGGGUUUGGGUCUCCUUCGCCACGCUUAUGUAGCCACAUGCCAGGCAAAAGGACCGCCCUGUAACCAGGGUGUAAGGUCUUAGCCCUCUCGUUCUUAAACUAGGAGAGCCUCUUUGUGCCUGUGGCUGAGUGACCCCCCUUUAAGAAGGGUUGCGGUUCCAGUUCUGUUAGUCGCAGAAAAUUCCCCAAGAAUGAUUUCUAUUUGGCUUUUUUGAGCUUUGAGGUGAAAUCUUAUUUGUGACCCGUGUAUUUCUUCUCCGGGUCACGUGUAACCCGGUGUGGCGAAGGGGCGGCUGUAAGGGGAUGGUGGAGGCCGUGAAAAAUUCGACCCUUCUUUCCCAGAGAGCCAACAAAUCGGCCCAAAUUCCGUAUCUCACAAAGUCUGGAACUGAACAGGUGAGGAAGCGGGCUCCUUUCAGAGCCUCACUUCCAUGCAAUCCUUCCUCAUCUCCUCUUGCCCUGCCCAAUUUACACUGCCCAAUCAACCUCAGCUUUGAGCCCGUGUUUGAUUCGGCACAAGAAAGACGUUGCUGGACGUAGCAUUUGUAAGGGUACAGAUUCGGAGAGCUCCGUAAGUUGUGUCUGAAUUCCAGGCCUUUUGUUUCUUUGCUGACAGAACGAGGCUAUUCCUAGGGCUAUGUUUGACGUGAUUGAUGUGGCUGUCCUUUUGGAAAUGUGCUCAUGCUCAGCUGGUGUAGGUUCUUGGCGUGGUAUUCAGAACUUGCACGGGGGUGCACCUAACCCUACUAACAGGACUGUGUUUUGGUCAAGGUUAGGGGGCACAAAGUUGAAAUUUUCUUGGUGGGGUAGGAAGGUAAGUCGGGAAGGGUGUUGCCGAGGGAUGGAGGAUUUAAUGGUAAUGCGAGACUCAGCGGGACUCCUCCCUUACCUGUUCAUUACCAGAUCUUUUCACAUUGGGGACUUUCCCCCCCUUCUUUAAAGGAGGACUAUUUUCCUAAAGAAAGGGUGACCGCCCUGUACUCAGGGAUCGGGUCUGUUUCCCUUUUCUCCUCUCUGCGUUGGCCCUUUUAAUGCCAAAGUCCCUGGCUGGCCAAAGAGAGCCCCCUCUACCGAGGGAAUGGAGGUCUCUCCUUUUCAGCGCUUUUGGCAAUGGCCCAUUGGGAUGCGCCUGGCUUAAGGACCACCCUGUAAGGAGGGUUUGGGUCUCCUUCGCCACGCUUAUGUAGCCACAGCUCACUUUGAUACGCCAGGCAAAAGGACCGCCCUGUAACCAGGGUGUAAGGUCUUAGCCCUCUCAUUCUUGAACUAGGAGAGCCUCUUUGUGCCUCUGGCUGAGUGACCCCCCUUUAAGAAGGGUCGAGGUCUCUCUGGCUUUCUGCUAUUUAGAACCUAGCCUUUAAUAUGACCCGUGCCACUGACCUCUCCCUGUAAGAAGGGUGCAGGUCUCCCCUUUCUAGCUUGUCUUGGGCCGCUGGCACUUGCUGGGCAAAGGGACCACCCUCUACCGAGGGAAUGGAGGUCCCUCCUUUUCAGCGCUUUUGGCAAUGGCCCAUUGGGAUGCGCCUGGCUUAAGGACCACCCUGUAAGGAGGGUUUGGGUCUCCUUCCCCACCCUUAUUUAGACACAGGUCACUUUGACACGCCAGGUAAAAGGACCGCCCUGUAACCAGGGCCUAAGGUCUUAUCCCUCUCAUUCUUAAACUAGCAGAACCCCCUUGUGCCUCUGGCUGAGUGACCCCCCUUUAAGAAGGGUUGAGGUUCUACUUCGGCUAGUCACCGUAAAUGGCACUAGAAUGAUUUCUACUUGGCUCUUCUGGGUUCUGAAGUGAAAUCUGAUUUGUGUCCCAUGGAUUUCCUGUCCGGGACACAUGGAACCAGGUGUGGCGAAGGGGCGGCUGUAAGGGGAUGGUGGAGGCCGUGAAAAAUUCAACCCUUUCCUCAAAAAAGCCAAGAAAUCACCAAAGUCCAAAGUGAGCUCCCUCUAACUAGGGUGUAGGUCUUUCUCUCACUUUCCCAAGAUUACACUCCCCUUUGAAAGCUAGUUCUAGAAACCAGCCUCUUGAGAGAGUUAAGGGUUUGCCCUUGUAGCUGCCCUGUGCCCGUGGCCUCCUCACGCACUCAGCCAAGUCAAAGCCCAGCGUACUCUGCAUCCGGAUGGCCCUGAGUUCUGCUGCAAGCUCUCCUGCCUUCUGCUACGGAUUGGUGCCGAAGCCUAGGAACUGGGCAACUCAAAGGACAAAAUGAAGACGACGACAGAAGCACCAAAGAAACUGCAGGAAAAGAGAAGAAAAGGCCAGUCAAAAACCACACACACAUUGCACACAUGGCCCUCCCUGUGGCAUUUACACUUGUCCGCCUAGGCUUAAUCCCCCUGGAGGGACCAGGGGAAAGGACCUCUCCGUAAACGGAGAUCAAGGUCCGCUCCUUGCCAAGAGAAAUGCUUUAUGGGCCCAUUGCGCACCUGCGGCUGAGUGACCCCCCUUUAAGAAGGGUUUAGGUCUCUGUGCAUUUCGGCUCUUCAGGACUUAGCCUUUAACAUGCCCCGUGCCACUGACCUCUCCCUGUAA